CAGGUUAUCUUCACGAGAAAAAAUGGGAGGAGUUACGAGAUUCUCUGGGUUGCAUGAAGAUCUACUAAUAACUUUCUCGCCAAGUAAUUUGGCGUCAUCGGCUCAUUCUUAUUUCUGGAACUGUGGUUGAAGAGUGGUCUGUUUUUGAUCCAUGUGCGCAAUGGCAAAUUUCAGGUUAUUCGUCAAAUAACCAAGGUUUCUAUUUCUCUGAUUAAUGCAGUUUAUUUGACAGAUGUGUAAUGCUGUUUGUUGAAAAAUGCAUUAGAACCAAUGAUGGUAAGAUCUUGGCCUAGCAAAUUGGUAAAAUAUUACCUGCUCUUAAUUACUGAAUCAUAUUGUAGGAUAAAAUCUGCUGUUUAUGUAUGAAAAUUUGUACUUUAUCUCUGAUUAUGUGGUAUAUGCCCAGAAUUUCAUUAUUAAUGAUCGAUUCAUUAAAAUUACUAUUUUUAAUUGUCUACUUUGUUUUGUGUUGCUGCUGCUCAUUCUGCAUUUUUUUUUUUUUUUUUUUGAGUAGAUAUAAAAAUUAAUUCUUGUUUUUUAUUUUUUUUCCCUCCAUGUCUCUUUUUAUUGUGCUGGUAAAUUUUUGAGAAAAUUUCAAGUAAAUGUGCCGUUUUUACUUAGUUUGCGUAAAAAUUGUUCUUCUUUAUGCCUCUUUUGAAUAAAUAUGUCAAUUCUUGUUUGUAUUAUUUAAUAUCUUGUUUUGCAUAUUAACACA